rnacentral:misc_RNA from 1 species
AAUGAAGCGCUUUCUCCCUCUCACUCAUCCCUUAUUAUUAUUAUUUCCGUUUUCUUUCGCUGCCGCGUGUAGCCUCACCAUCUUUGCUUUCGGUUCUGCAGGAGGAAAACAGCAUCUCUCCACCUCAGCCAGCUAAGGAAUCGGACGACGUACACAACUCACGUGCCUUUCUCACGGUUCUUCUACAUCCCUGUUUGCUUUCUGCUCGUGCGUCAUGCCGUUCGCUGUUCAGCCGCUGCCGUACCCCCACGAUGCGCUCGCGUCGAAGGGCAUGUCGAAGGAGCAGGUCACCUUCCACCACGAGAAGCACCACAAGGGGUACGCCGUGAAGCUGAACGCUGCCGCGGAGUCAAACUCGGGUCUUGCGUCGAAGUCGCUGGUGGACAUCAUCAAGUCUGAGAAGGGCCCCGCCUUCAACUGUGCGGCGCAGAUUUUCAACCACGACUUCUUCUGGCGCUGCCUGUCGCCGAGAGGCGGUGGCGAGCCGUCGGGCCCUUUGGCAAGUGCGAUCGUCGACAGUUUUGGCAGCUUCGCGAGCUUCAAGAAGGAAUUCACGGAUGCGGCCAACGGCCACUUUGGCUCCGGCUGGGCGUGGCUCGUGAAGGACAAGUCGAGUGGCAAGCUGAAGGUGCUCCAAACGCACGACGCGGGCUGCCCGCUCACGGAGCCCAACCUCGUGCCGAUCUUGACGUGCGAUAUAUGGGAGCACGCGUACUAUAUCGACUACAGGAACGACCGCGCGUCCUACGUGAACGCAUUUUGGAACAUGGUGGACUGGGAUUUCGCCUCUAGCCAGCUUUAAGCUCUUCUGCGAUGCGCAGUUUGGAGUUCACGUUGAGAAAGAGGCCGAGCGAGUAACGGGUGGCGCCGGGGGAGGGGGAAGCGGAACUGUGCUGGCGCGCUCGUGGGAACAACAAAGAUGGAAAGACAAGAGAAAGAAGCGAACAGUGUAGUAUAAGUAGCGCGGUGCUUUUGUGUGUGCGCGUGUGAAGAGCUCUGCCACUAUUUCGUUUUCUGGUUUCCAUUGUUUUCUUUCUCUCUUGCUCUCUAUCCCAGCAUUGUCGUCUUGACCGAACGUCUGUCUCUUCGACGGUGCUGCUUCAACGAGAAGUGAAAUCUCCCUCAGGGGGUUAUGCGGCGGUGCUUGCCUGCUUGUCUCUCUUUUUUUCUGAAAUUGCCGUUUCAUACACACACUUACGCCCCGCACAAUGCCGUGUGCUCAUGCUUGCGGUUCAAGUGCUGAGUAGGGUGGGAAUAUGAUGGAAGGAAGCACUGCACUGCUCUGUAAACCUUAUAACACACCUUCUCUCACUUGUCACUGUUUGUCUCUAACAUCUUCUAGCACUGCUGCUGCCAUGGCUUUCUAUAAAGCCGUAAGCGAAACGAAGAUGCAAGCACUCGCAGCCACGGCAGCACCUAUCCUCCCCCUUUUCACUCGCUGCUUCUCGAUCUCUUUCUCUCUUUCGCUCUCCUGCAAUCUCACGAACGGCUUUAUUGACCGCAUCGACGUUUAUUAGCACGGGAUACGUCGACACCUCCCUCCCCGCUGUCUCCCUUCUGUUUCUGGCGGUAGGUUUGGCUCGUUUUUUUUUCCCGUCGCCUUUUCUGAUGCGUUAGUUUGUAUUCUCUUUCCAUUUUUUCUUUUUUUUUGGACUAUUGGGCCCUGAGAUUCACACGCGUUUUCUCUUUUUCUUUUUUUUGUCGUCGUUACUCUCGUGCUUUUCAUGUUGCUUCCCUCUCUCGCCAUUCCCCCUUCUGCCCUUCUCUUCUCGCCCUCUCCCGUAUCGAUGUCUGUGUCAUUGUUGUUGCAUAGGUGCGUCGUUUCUUUGGCGCGAAAGCAGAAAAGAGGCAAAUGGGAGUCUCCUCUUCUUCCGUCCACCACCACACUUCUCGGGUGUGUCGUAUGGGCAUGCCUGCCUUUCAUCUCCCUGGCGCUUCCUCAUUCCUUCCUGUCUUGCCCCCCCCCCCCCCCACCUCGUCUCGCGGCUCUCUCUCUCGGUUGUGUCUUUGCUGUUGUUGUUGUGUCUGUGUGCGUGUGAUAGCACGAGCAAGUGACCGAAAGGAUAGUUGGAACAGUAACAACAGAGCGUGAUGGACGGGUGGGGCGGGAUGGGGGGAAGGAGUGGGCCGGCAGUCCAGGAAAUCAUACAGAAAGAGCUCUCUUCCGCACGUGGUCUCAUUUGGGGUGUAACCCCCGCCCUCUUCCCCCCACUUUGUUUUUACUUCCCCUUCUUUCCUGUGCUUUUCAUCCCCGCCAACGGUGGUCCAUGACGAGAUGGUAUUGACACGACUAUCGAAAAAAAAAGCGGGAAAGAAGGAGCACGCACAACAACUGCAAAGAGAACAACGUGGAAAAUAGGCGCGAAAAAUGCGAACUGACGUACAGAGGAUUGUUGAAGAAUUCAAGAAUCGUUCCUUUUGCGCACAUGUAACGAUCCUUCAGGAUCGAGGAAGAUGAGCUGGAGAAAAAGCGUCUGCGCGUGCACUCAAAUUGCUGAAGGAAUCGGAAAGUUACUCAUGCGCUUCUCAGCGUCUGUGACUUUUCGUUUUCCCUCUUCUUGUGUCUCCAGCCUGCGUGCGUCUGGCUGCUGUGACCUUUCCUCACCCCUCCUUUGCCGCCCCCGCUGUGCCGUCCGUCUCCCUCUCCUAUUCAGCCUCACGUAAUGGCACGUUGAGCGCAGGUAUACCUCUGCCUCACUGUUAGCCAGUGUGAAAGGCGGUGAGCUGUAAAGACAACGGUAGGGUCGCCAGAGAGGGUGAAGGGUACACCGUUUUGCAACUCUCUAUGCUUUAGGUCUACAGAGUAGUAGCAGGUGCGCCUUUUAUUUCUUUUGCCGCACUGUUUCUCCGUUUUUUUUUUCGUCUGUGAAUCGCUAUCUUCUGCGACCCCUCCGUCCCCCUCACUUUUACAUCUGCCAGUCGUUGAUGUGUGGUACGGUUCUUGUACUCUUCUUCUCUCCCCAGCGUUUCUUUGGUGCUCAAGAACCGCAAAGAUCGCCACAAGAGAGGGAGCAAACGAAAACAAAAAAAAAACAACAUAAAGACGACGAGAAGGCGGUAAGAGGAGUGUGGUUUCAGCGCACGUACAUACAUAGACACACACAUGUGUAUGUAUUCUGCAGCAAGACGAUGCCAAACGAGUGGCGGUACGGAUGAGGGGAGAAAUACAGGGAAAAAAGACGUGCCCGCGUACGACACACACGGACGGUCGUUUGAAAACAAGGUGGGAGCAGGGAAAGUAAAGUGACUGCAAGAGUUUUCGCUUUCCCGCAAGUGCACUUCAGUGACCCUGCUGCGCAUCUGCUCUCCUCCUCGUGCCCAGCCAGUCUCGCUUGUGUGCCGGGCUAGUGUAAAGUGCCACGUAAGCGCCUGUAUCCGCCGGUGUACUGUGCUAGUUACCACUCUUUCUCUAUGCGUAUCUGCCGCUCUGUCACUCGUUGUGGCUGCUCAGCGGUCUCUCUCCUUCACCGUGUCCUCUUUGCGCGUGUACGUGUGCCCUAUGUGCGUGGAAUGCAAUACUCCUCCCUCCGUCACGUUCCGCGUCUCUUCGUCUUGUUUUUUUUUUCCUCUGCAUGUAUUGUUGCCGUUUCUCCUCCAGAGUGUGAACGCUACCUCUCUCCUCUCUCCUGUUCUUCUUUGCUUGCUUGCUUGGCUCUGCGUGCGUGUUUUAUGCCUUACACAGUUAUGACU